rnacentral:rRNA from 1 species
GGUGCGAUGGUUGUCGUCAGCUCGUGUCGUGAGAUGUUGGGUUAAGUCCCGCAACGAGCGCAACCCUCGCCUCUAGUUGCCAGCAUUCGGUUGGGCACUCUAGAGGGACUGCCGGCGACAAGUCGGAGGAAGGUGGGAUGACGUCAAAUCAUCAUGCCCCUUAUGACCUGGGCUACACACGUGCUACAAUGGGCGGUACAAAGGGCUGCGAACCCGCGAGGGGGAGCGAAUCCCAAAAAGCCGCUCUCAGUUCGGAUUGCAGGCUGCAACUCGCCUGCAUGAAGCCGGAAUCGCUAGUAAUCGCGGAUCAGCAUGCCGCGGUGAAUACGUUCCCGGGCCUU